rnacentral:rRNA from 1 species
UUGGAGAGUUUGAUCCUGGCUCAGGACNNNNNNNNNNACGCUGGCGGCGUGCUUAACACAUGCAAGUCGAACGAAGAGCGAUGGAAGCUUGCUUCUAUCAAUCUUAGUGGCGAACGGGUGAGUAACGCGUAAUCAACCUGCCCUUCAGAGGGGGACAACAGUUGGAAACGACUGCUAAUACCGCAUACGAUCCAAUCUCGGCAUCGAGACUGGAUGAAAGGUGGCCUCUAUUUAUAAGCUAUCACUGAAGGAGGGGAUUGCGUCUGAUUAGCUAGUUGGAGGGGUAACGGCCCACCAAGGCGAUGAUCAGUAGCCGGUCUGAGAGGAUGAA